GCGGCAAACAGCCAUUGAUCCGGGGAUGUCCGAAUGGGGAAACCCACCCAGCAUAAGCUGGGUAUCCUCACCUGAAUACAUAGGGUGCAGGAGGCGAACUCAGGGAACUGAAACAUCUAAGUACCUGAAGGAAAAGAAAUCAACCGAGAUUCCCCCAGUAGCGGCGAGCGACCGGGGAGGAGCCUGCAAGUGAUAGCACGAAUGUUAGCGGAACACUCUGGAAAGUGUGGCGAUAGAGGGUGAUAGCCCCGUACGCGAAAACAAACUUUGAAAUCUCGAGUAGGGCGGGACACGUGAAAUCCUGUCU
rnacentral:rRNA from 1 species